UACGUAGGUGGCAAGCGUUAUCCGGAUUUAUUGGGCGUAAAGGGUGCGUAGGCGGGAUGCCAAGUCAGCGGUAAAAAUGCGGUGCUCAACGCCGUCGAGCCGUUGAAACUGGCGUUCUUGAGUGGGCGAGAAGUAUGCGGAAUGCGUGGUGUAGCGGUGAAAUGCAUAGAUAUCACGCAGAACUCCGAUUGCGAAGGCAGCAUACCGGCGCCCUACUGACGCUGAGGCACGAAAGCGUGGGUAUCGAACAGG
rnacentral:rRNA from 1 species